AUCCUAAAGAGCUCCUGACAAGGUCUACUGCUGGGGGAGAGGUUAAUGUGUUGACAGACCAUGCGGAUUAAUACCUCUGGGAAGUUUUACCUGUUCCUUGCUUAGUUCUGAGCAGAAAAUGUCUCAGGAACCAUAAGAAAAGAAAUGCGAUAGAAAAGAUCAUUUGAUGAAAAAGAAGGAGGGUGUGAAGGAGUGAGCUGAUUGUCUGCACACACACCCGAGGGGACUCCUCAGAAAUGACUAAAGCAAAUACUGAAGGAGCAAAUGGCUGUGCAGCACACACAGCUGAGGGGACUCCUCAGAAAUGACAUGAAGGAAACUCAAAAGGAGCUGCAGGAGCAGCUGAAGACUGCAGGAAGCCAGGGCUCUGCACUACCUACGGCUGAAGAAACUCCUGAGGGGACUUAGAGGAGGUGGUUAGUGAACAGACUAAAACCUUGGAAAUUCCUUAUCUAAGGAGCCAUGGACUUAAAGGACUGCCCUGACUGGUCUUGAACUUGAGACCCCCUUGUCUCAGUUUCCUUAAUGCUGACAUUCCAAGUGCCACAUGUGCCCUCCCAUGGUUUAAGUCCUCAGCCCGGUGAGGUGGUUUGAGGAAGCUGUCCUUUGACUUGAAUGGCAACCAUUAAAGCUACGUCAAGUUAACAGCUAUGGGCUCUCUUUCCACUCCCUCCAGUAGUUACCCUUGGUAUAAAUAAAUGAAUGAUUAAGUAAAUAAUAAAGUACUU